rnacentral:lncRNA from 12 species
UGUCAGCUAGAGAGGGUUAAAAGUCAAUUGGUAAAUGGAUGGCUUCACCAUUGAUCUGUAGGACUUCAUGGGGGCAUCCAGCUAACUAUGGCACCCCUCACCACUUCAUAAAUUAAAAACAAUCCAUAAAUAACUUACUCCAUAGUAGGUGGAAGAAUGACAUUUCAGGAGGCGUGGGGAUGGCAAAGAAGGGGCAUUUCCCUAAAAAAAUGAAAGAGGCCCCUUGAAAGAUCUCAUAAGCAUCACUUAAUUUCAGUGAAUAUGACAAGCUGAACACAGGCCUGAUAAACCCCCAAAACUAUAUAAAUUGCCCAAGAAAAUUAAGAUACAAGUGAUCCACUUACAUAAGAUCUGAAGUCAGGUAACUUUACAACUGCACUAUAUUUUCUGCAAUAUGAUAUGCAAUUAAUUCUUCCUUAAAUAAACAAACUGAUUAAAAUUUCAUUAUGCUGACAUCUCACAAUAAGCCUGGAUCCAGCGAGCCCCUUUCUUUUUGCUUAUGUAAGCCUUUAUAAUUAAUUCUGGAUUUAUGUCAUUUGCUGGUCAAUGUUACAGUCACCUUUCUAACUAUUUAAGCAAUUCGAAAGCUGUCGGAGCUCACAGGAGCCACUGAAGCCAUGGGUGAUGGCUCCCAGUUUUAAUCUAAUCCUUAUUUGGUGAAGUUUUAUUUCCCCCGUGCUGUGGCAUUUUCUUUUAGCCAAGCAAUUAAACGUUAAUGUCCUCACUUUUUGCACCACGGUAAUUCCAUGAUUCGAUUUUUAGCCAGACAGAGGUGGCAGCAUAAUUUUGUCUAAUUCACAGCCUACUAACACAUUUUACCAUUUAAUUAGUGGUUUUUUUCCCCCCCAUUUCAGCCCCCAAAACUAUUUUGUCAUAGUUGAUAAAUUUAAACUCUUAGGUUAUACAAAGAUCCUAAGAAUUGUCCGCGUCAUUCGGCGACCCUCACUUGUGUCGUUACUUCCUUCUCUGAGCAGGUGUUGGCUGGGCUCCAGGAAGGCCUUUCAGUGCCACACGUGGAAGGGGCUACUGGAGGGUGCAUCUCCGAGAAAGCAGGAGACUCUUGAGGACCUGGUGGUACCAUUUCCCAUCAACCAGGAAACAAAGAAUGGAAACCAGUCCCCAGAUUUCCAUCUUAAACUCAUAGCAUCCUUCCCAGUGAGACAGUCUUCCAUUAUCAACUUUUUUGAUCAAAGAUCGCAACUGCUCAGCUUCAUCAUCACCACCUAAACGGCCACUGUGAUACACCUUUCACUCAGUUCUUCAGAGAAAAAUAGAAGAGAAAGAUUAUGUAAGACUACAUUUUCCACAAUCUCUUUUGCAGGGGAAUUAUGUGUCAAUAAAUUCUAAUGAGUGGCAAGAAAAUUCA